CCUACGGGAGGCAGCAGUGAGGAAUAUUUGUCAAUGGACGAAAGUCUGAACCAGCCAAGUAGCGUGAAGGAUGACUGCCCUAUGGGUUGUAAACUUCUUUUAUAUGGGAAUAAAAUGUUCCACGUGUGUGAUUUUGUAUGUACCAUAUGAAUAAGGAUCGGCUAACUCCGUGCCAGCAGCCGCGGUAAUUCGGAGGAUCCGAUCGUUAUACGGAUUUCUUGGGUUCAAAGGGAUCGUAGGUGGAUUUGUAAGUCAGUUGUGAAAGUUUGCGGCUCAACCGUAAAAUUGCAGUUGAAACUGGCAGUCUUGAGUAGAGUAGAGGUGAGCGGAAUUCGUGGUGUAGCGGUGAAAUGCUUAGAUAUCACGAAGAACUCCGAUUGCGAAGGCAGCUCACUGGACUGCAACUGACACUGAGGCUCGAAAGUGUGGGUAUCAAACAGGAUUAGAUACCCUAGUAGUC
rnacentral:rRNA from 1 species